GUGAACGCUGGCGGCAGGCCUAACACAUGCAAGUCGAGCGGCAGCGGGUCCUUCGGGAUGCCGGCGAGCGGCGGACGGGUGAGGAAUGCGUCGGAAUCUGCCUUUUUGUGGGGGAUAACGUAGGGAAACUUACGCUAAUACCGCAUACGACCUGCGGGUGACAGUGGGGGACCGCAAGGCCUCACGCAGAAAGAUGAGCCGACGUCGGAUUAGCUAGUUGGCGGGGUAAAGGCCCACCAAGGCGACGAUCCGUAGCUGGUCUGAGAGGAUGAUCAGCCACACUGGAACUGAGACACGGUCCAGACUCCUACGGGAGGCAGCAGUGGGGAAUAUUGGACAAUGGGCGCAAGCCUGAUCCAGCCAUGCCGCGUGUGUGAAGAAGGCCUUCGGGUUGUAAAGCACUUUUGUCCGGAAAGAAAUCCUGUCGGCUAAUACCCGGCGGGGAUGACGGUACCGGAAGAAUAAGCACCGGCUAACUUCGUG
rnacentral:rRNA from 1 species